AAAGGCCUGGCUAGAAAACUACUCUUGCCUUUUGGACUGGAUCUUCCUUCUACUCUCUGGCAAUGCCUGUGGAUUUCAGCGGAACGUGGAACCUCGUCAGCAAUGACAACUUCGAGGGUUAUAUGGUGGCCUUAGGUAUUGACUUUGCAACACGCAAAAUAGCAAAGAUGCUGAAGCCUCAGAAAGUGAUCAAACAAGAUGGUGAUUCAUUCUAUAUCCACACCACUAGCACAUUCAGAGAUUAUUUGCUUGAAUUCAAAGUUGGAGAAGAGUUUGAGGAAGAUAAUAAAGGCUUGGAUAACAGAAAAUGCAAGAGCCUCGUUACCUGGGAAAAUGACAAACUUGUCUGUGUCCAGACUGGUGAGAAGAAGAACAGGGGCUGGACUCACUGGCUCGAAGGGGAUGACCUCCACCUGCUCUCCUAGGUAGGAAAGAUGUGUAAUGGAUGUACAUUGUGAGCCCAUUCUGCUUUGAAACAGCUUCGUUGUUUCACUGUCACCUGUAGUUAAAUUCAAAUGUUAAGUGAGCUUCGUUGUGAGAAUCAAGUCUGCAGACAGGUCUUCAAGAGAGCUUGAAUCUGCGUGGAGUGCUGGGUCCUGCCUGUGGGACAGCUCUGCCCAGGAGCCUCGUGUCCAGCGAGCGCUCUACGGACACGAACUGACUCAAUGGUCUGAAGUUUCUGGCUCAGGAAAUAAGUCUGCUCUUGCCAGUGUUAAAGGUCUCAUUUUUGCUAAUAAAUGCCUCA